rnacentral:rRNA from 1 species
CCCUUAGAUGUUCUGGGCAGCACGCGCGCUACAAUGGUCUUCGCAAACGGAUGCAUUCUCGAAGGAGAAUGCCAAUCUUGGAAUCUAUGCCUUGGUCGGGAUAGUUGCUUGCAAUUUUUCGACUCGAACCAGGAAUUCCUUGUAAUCGUGAUUCAUCACAUCACGAUGAAUACGUCCCUGCCCUUUGUACACACCGCCCGUCGCUCCUACCGAUCGAAGAGUUAGGUGAAUUGUUUUGAUCGAUAAGAUUUGACUAUGGUCAACUCUCGUUGUGAAAUUCUGUGAAUCUGACUGUUUAGAGGAAGGAAAAGUCGUAACA